CAAGAGAUCUAUUGGAAGCCCUAUCUGUGGUUGAGCCAUUGGUUACUAAAGAAAUGAACUGCCAAUUGAUUUCCCUUGUGUGUGAUGAAGAGAUCCGAGUAGCAGUGUUUCACUUGGGCACUUUCAAGGCUCUGGUUGAAUGGAUUUCCUGGAUUUUUUUAUCAAACCUACUGGCAGGAUGUUGGAGAAAGUGUUUGCAAAGCGGUGAAAAUUUUCUUUUGGGGGGGAUCACUUGCUUAAAGAAUUAAACUAGACUAAUUUAUUCUUGAUCCCUAAGGUUGCACAUCCUAUGAAGCUAUCACAUUUCCGUCCUAAUAGCCUAUGCAAUUUCAAUUUAAAAUCAUAACCAAGAUCCUUGUAAACUGUCAAAAAUCUUUUUUGAAGGACUUUAUCUCUCCAAAUCAAUCUGUAUUUGUUCCUGGACACUUGAUUUAAGAUAACAUUCUUGUGGCCCAUGAGGCCUUUCACUCUUCAAGUUAAAGACGCGUGGAAUUACGGGUCAUAUAGCAAUUAGACUCGAUUUCAACAAAGCUUAUGACCGGAUAUAGUGGGAUUUCUUAUCCAGAGGAUGGGCUUUCAUCCUAGAUGGACUCAAUGGGUAGUUGAAUGUGUGUCUACUGUCACACUUUCCAUAUUUGCUAAUGGUGAGAAAAGGGCUUCCUUCAAUCUAGGUCGUGGGCUGCGGCAAGGAGAUCCCCUAUCCCGUUAUUUGUUUAUUUUGGUUGUUGAUAUCCUAUCUAAUCUCUUGACUUGAAACCUCAGAAAAAAUCAAAUCUCAGGUUUGAAAAUCACAAGGCACUGCCCUACUCUUUACCACUUAUUAUUUGCUGAUGAUAUGCUUCUUUUCCUCAAGGCAGAAUCUGGUGAAUGUCAGCAUGUGUUGGACAUCCUUUGAAUUUUCUGUGAAGCCUUGGGGAAACAGAUUUCAACUCUCUUAACUGGAUGCAAAAUACUUGGGGUUACCAUCUUUCUAGGGUCGAUCAAAAGCAGAAGCUUACGAGUUCAUGAUAGAAAGAAUCCUCUCAAAGCUGCAAGGUUGGAAACUGAAAUUGUUAUCUCAAGCGGGGAAGGAAGCCCUUAUUAAAGCAGUGGUCUAAGGUAUUCCUGCCUAUGCAAUUGCUUGGUUCGUCUUUCCCAAAAAAUUCUGCACACAACUAAACUCCUAUAUUAGUAACUUUUGGUGUGGUGGUGAUCCAGAGGAGAAAGGGGUCCAUUGGAUCAAUUAGGGGCUUUUGGGUAUGUCAACAUUUGAAGGAGGCUUGGGUUUCCGUGAUUUCAACACUUUCAACAUGGCCCUUCUAGCUCGACAAGGAUGGCAUUUGAUGAAAUACCCAAACUCUUAUUGUGUACGCAUUUUGAAAGGAAUCUAUCUUCUACACUCUAAUUUUAUGGAAGCUACAAAAGGCCAUCGGGCGUCUUGGGCUUGGGCAAGUAUCUUACAAGGUAGAGAGAUUUUUCAAAAAGGCAUCCAUUGGUAGGUGAAUAGUGGAACUAAUGCAAAAUUAUGGGAAGAAAAAUUGAUUCCAUCUAUCCCGGGAUUCAAAGCGAUUUCUUUGAAGCCCGGAGGAAAUGAAUCUCAAAAAGUGUGUAGUGCUAUUGAUUUCUUGACAAAGAGUUGGAAGGUAGAUGAUCUAAAACUCUAUAUGUUCGAAGCAGAAGUUAAGGUCAUUCGUGUGAUUCCCAUUGCCCUGGAAACAACACCAGAUUCUCUUGUAUGGCAUUUUGAAUUAAGUGUACCUAUUCGGUCAAAUCGGGAUACAAUAUUGCAAUGAAAAAGCUAUGCAAAUCUCUGUCCUACUUUCCAUCUGCCUCCUUUCAACCCCAGAACAGGUGUAGAAGAUUAUUUUGGCUUUAAAUGUACCUCCAAAACUUCAACACUUUUGGUGGAAAGUGCAUACAAAUGUGCUUGCUACAAAGGACAAUCUGUGCAAGAGAAGAUGUGUUGUGUCAAAUUUGUGUCCUAUAUGUAAGAAUUUAUUCUUAAUUAGGCUGACAUUGGCUAUAUUUU